rnacentral:rRNA from 1 species
GACGUAGGGCGCGAGCGUUAAUCGGAAUUAUUGGGCGUAAAGGGCGCGUAGGCGGCAAUUCAAGUCGUCUGUGAAAUCUCCGGGCUUAACUCGGAAUGGUCAGGUGAUACUGCUUUGCUAGAGUGCAGAAGGGGCAAUCGGAAUUCCUGGUGUAGCGGUGAAAUGCGCAGAUAUCAGGAGGAACACCGGUGGCGAAGGCGGGUCUCUGGGCAAUAACUGACGCUGAGGAGCGAAAGCGUGGGGAGCGAACAGG